AAGGUAUAUUGCCAUGGUAAGUAAAUUGUCAAAUAUGACUUGUGUCAGUGCGUAUUUAAAGUAAAUAAGGUACUUUCAAAUGAAACUCAUUGAAAUUUUAAUUUUUACUGGAUACGGAGUUAAACAAAGAAGUCAAAAAGAAGUUUGUAAUUUGUUUAAUGUAAAAUAUCCAGAAGGCCCAUUGCAUGAACUACAGUCGUCCCAAAAUUAUUGAAAAUACAAGAUUCAAUAUUUGAUUAGAAAUGGAAGAUAAUUCCCAUAUUUCGACUUCUGAAGUCUUAAAUAAUGUUGUUAGCCAACGAACAACUUUGCGUGUAUUGAAUAAAGAAAAGUAUAAUCCAUAAAAACUUAGAUUACUGCGUGAGCUAAACGAUGAUAAUCCUGAUCGCAAACUGAAUUUAGAAAUAUGUAACUUAAAUCCAUUGUUCCAUCGGCAGAUACUAUUUAGUGAUGAAGCCACGUUUUGCUUAAAUAGUAUAGUUAAUAAGCACAAUUUUAGGUAUUGGAGCAUGAAUAAUCCCCAUUGGAAAAGAGAAAAUCAUACACAGCAUCCACAAAAAUUAAAUGUUUGGGCAGGACUGUUAAAUAAUAAAAUUAUUGGAUCUUUUUUUUUCGAUCAAACUCGUAUCGGAGGCUGAUAUUUAAAAUUUCUUUAAAAUAACUUCAUUCCAGCUCUUGCAAUUUCUAUUCCAAAUCCGAAUCAGCUUAAUAUGCCAAAUAGAUCUAUUUGGUUUCAACAGGAUGGUGCCUCACCCCAUUUUGCUCGUCAGGUACGCGAAUAUUUGAAUGCGGUAUGUCCCGGACAGUGGGUUGGUAGGAGGGGUCCUACGAAAUGUGCUGCAAGAUUCACAGAUCUCACACAUUUGGAUUUUAAUUCAAAAGUUUAUAUAUUUGUAUUGUAUUUAAAGUCAAAAGUUUAUAAAGAGAAACCGCACAAUUUAGAUGAUAGAUUAGUCAAAUUAAUGAAAAGAUUCUUAGCAAUGUUUUGAAUAGGUUUUUAAAUAGACUAGCAUUUUGCCACAAAGUGAAUAGUGGGCAUUUUGAACACUUAAUAAAAUACUUAAAAUAUUUAA